rnacentral:rRNA from 1 species
UAGGGAAUCUUCCGCAAUGGGCGAAAGCUUGACGCAGCAACGCCGCGUGAGUGAUGAAGGUCUUCGGAUCGUAAAACUCUGUUAUUAGGGAAGAACAAAUGUGUAAGUAACUAUGCACGUCUUGACGGUACCUAAUCAGAAAGCCACGGCUAACUACGUGCCAGCAGCCGCGGUAAUACGUAGGUGGCAAGCGUUAUCCGGAAUUAUUGGGCGUAAAGCGCGCGUAGGCGGUUUUUUAAGUCUGAUGUGAAAGCCCACGGCUCAACCGUGGAGGGUCAUUGGAAACUGGAAGACUUGAGUGCAGAAGAGGAAAGUGGAAUUCCAUGUGUAGCGGUGAAAUGCGCAGAGAUAUGGAGGAACACCAGUGGCGAAGGCGACUUUCUGGUCUGUAACUGACGCUGAUGUGCGAAAGCGUGGGGAUCAAACAGG